UACAGAGACCUCAAGCGUUAUCCGGAAUCAUUGGGCGUAAAGCGUACCGAUAGGUGGUUUUACAAGUCAGAAGUGAAAUCUUAAAGCUCAACUUUGAGACUGUCUUUUGAAACUGUAAAACUAGAGGGGCAAAGAGGAAGCUGGAACGAGCGGUGUAGUAGUGAAAUGCGUUGAUAUCGCUCGGAACACCAAUAGCGUAGGCAGGCUUCUGGGUGCCACCUGACACUGCUAGGACGAAAGCGUGGGGAGCGAAUGGG
rnacentral:rRNA from 1 species